UUUUUCUUAAUAAAACUUGCUUUGCCUGCUUGAGAAAGCAGAGAGGCCUGGUCCUCCCGAGCCCCGGCCAGACCUGACCGUGAGCCCAGCCCGCGGCCUUAGGGUGCCGGCCCUCAGUGGCCUGCUUUGUUGGGCUGCUUUUCUGGACGCGCCCCCACCAGGCCUGCAGCCCUUUUCCCUCACUGCACUCACACACGACCUCUGCAGCAAAGCUAAUAA